rnacentral:rRNA from 1 species
UACGUAGGGUGCAAGCGUUGUCCGGAAUUAUUGGGCGUAAAGAGCUCGUAGGCGGUCAGUCGCGUCUGCUGUGAAAACUCGGGGCUUAACUCCGGGCCUGCAGUGGGUACGGGCUGACUAGAGUGCGGGAGAGGAGAGUGGAAUUCCUGGUGUAGCGGUGGAAUGCGCAGAUAUCAGGAAGAACACCCGUGGCGAAGGCGGCUCUCUGGAACGCAACUGACGCUGAGGCGCGAAAGCGUGGGGAGCAAACAGG